rnacentral:lncRNA from 1 species
GAAAAUGCCAAUGUUGCUACGAAAUAUUAGUGUUGUUUAUAAACUGUUGUAGAAACCAUGCUGCAAAGCGCAAUGCUGCUGUAAGGUACCGUACUACACGAAACGCCCGCUGCAGCGGAUACCAUUGCAGAAUUGUAGUGCUGCCACCGAAACACAGUUUUGCAGAACCAACCCUCAAAGCCAAUUGGAAAACCUAUUAAUCGUAUCACAUCAACAUCAUUAUAUAGAGAUGCCAAACUUCUUAAGGGAAGAAUUGACACAAGUCCAAGGCCAUUGCAAGUUGGUGAAUUGUAAUCAACAGGAAUUACUUGAAGCUGAGAUGUUUGUUCAUUUAACCUUAGUUAACGCCAUGAAGGAUUGUUUUUGCAUAAUUUGACUGCUCUUGUAGGCAUGGCAUGAACAUAAACGUGGUUGGCCAAGGAUAACUUGCAAAUGAAGCACUCAUGAUGGAAGCAAGCAAACAUGAACAAUGGAGUGAUGGAUUAAGGUUCAUGAUGGAAG